GCUCCGUUGGAGUAGCGGAUAUCUCACCUGGCCCUCAACCAGGAGAUUGCCGGUUCGACCCCGGCACGGAGCA
rnacentral:tRNA from 1 species